rnacentral:rRNA from 1 species
UACGUAGGGGGCUAGCGCUGUCCGGAAUCAUUGGGCGUAAAGCGCGUGUAGGCGGUCCGGUAAGUCCGCUGUGAAAGUCGGGGGCUCAACCCUCGAAUGCCGGUGGAAACUGUCGGGCUAGAGUACGGAAGAGGCGAGUGGAAUUCCUGGUGUAGCGGUGAAAUGCGCAGAUAUCAGGAGGAACACCAAUUGCGAAGGCAGCUCGCUGGGACGUUACUGACGCUGAGACGCGAAAGCGUGGGGAGCAAACAGG